rnacentral:rRNA from 1 species
CACGCCCUAAACGAUGUCAACUAGGUGUUGGGUGGGUAAAACCAUUUAGUACCGGAGCUAACGCGUGAAGUUGACCGCCUGGGGAGUACGGCCGCAAGGUUAAAACUCAAAGGAAUUGACGGGGACCCGCACAAGCGGUGGAUGAUGUGGUUUAAUUCGAUGCAACGCGAAAAACCUUACCUACCCUUGACAUGUCAAGAAUUUUGCAGAGAUGUGAAAGUGCUCGAAAGAGAACUUGAACACAGGUGC